AACGAACGCUGGCGGCAUGCCUAACACAUGCAAGUCGAACGAGACCUUCGGGUCUAGUGGCGCACGUGUGCGUAACGCGUGGUAACCUGCCCUUAGGUUCGGAAUCACUCCCCGAAAGGGGUCCUAAUACCGGUUAAUGUCUUCGCACCAAAGAUUUAUCGCCUUUGGAUGGGCCCGCGUUGGAUUAGCUAGUUGGUAGGGUAAAAGCCUACCAAGGCGACGAUCCAUAGCUGGUCUGAGAGGAUGAUCAGCCCCACUGGGACUGAGACACGGCCCAGACUCGUACGGGAGGCAGCAGUGGGGAAUAUUGGACAAUGGGCGAAAGCCUGAUCAAGCAAUGCGGCGUGAGUGAUGAAGGCCUUAGGGUUGUAAAGCUGUUUUACACGGGAUGAGAAUGACAGUACCGGGAGAAUAAGCUCCGGCUAACUCCGUG
rnacentral:rRNA from 1 species